rnacentral:lncRNA from 1 species
UAUUUUCAAGAUGGCGUAUUUGGUGUAUUGGAUUUUUGCAGGUUUAGGAUUCUUGAGAUGCUAAUCACAACAAUUUGUGAGCAAAUUAAUUGUUUAACGACUCAAAAGAAAAAUAGAGGAACCAAUCAACCAAAAUUGUACAAUCUUCAGGCGAUGGAUCAUGACAGGAAGCAACAAACUUCGAAUCGUAUAGUUUAAUAUUCUUUGUUGAUAUUAUUGAUGCCUUCAAAUAAUAUCAAACUUAAUCUUUAUCAAAUGCAAAUAGUGAUACGGAUAAACUCAAAUA